rnacentral:rRNA from 1 species
CCUUACUGCUCAGUAACACGUGGAUAACCUGCCCUUGGGUCCGGCAUAACCCCGGGAAACUGGGGAUAAUUCCGGAUAACGCACAUAUGCUGGAAUGCUUUAUGCGUAAAAUGGAUUCGUCUGCCCAAGGAUGGGUCUGCGGCCUAUCAGGUAGUAGUGGGUGUAAUGUACCUACUAGCCAACAACGGGUACGGGUUGUGAGAGCAAGAGCCCGGAGAUGGAUUCUGAGACAUGAAUCCAGGCCCUACGGGGCGCAGCAGGCGCGAAAACUUUACAAUGCGGGAAACCGUGAUAAGGGGACACCGAGUGCCAGCAUCAUAUGCUGGCUGUCCGGGUGUGUAAAAUACACCCGUUAGCAAGGGCCGGGCAAGACCGGUGCCAGCCGCCGCGGUAACACCGGCGGCCCGAGUGGUGAUCGUGAUUAUUGGGUCUAAAGGGUCCGUAGCCGGUUUGGUCAGUCCUCCGGGAAAUCUGAUAGCUCAACUAUUAGGCUUUCGGGGGAUACUGCCAGACUUGGAACCGGGAGAGGUAAGAGGUACUACAGGGGUAGGAGUGAAAUCUUGUAAUCCCCGUGGGACCACCUGUGGCGAAGGCGUCUUACCAGAACGGGUUCGACGGUGAGGGACGAAAGCUGGGGGCACGAACCGGAUUAGAUACCCGGGUAGUCCCAGCCGUAAACGAUGCUCGCUAGGUGUCAGGCAUGGCGCGACCGUGUCUGGUGCCGCAGGGAAGCCGUGAAGCGAGCCGCCUGGGAAGUACGGCCGCAAGGCUGAAACUUAAAGGAAUUGGCGGGGGAGCAC